rnacentral:rRNA from 1 species
AUGCACCUAGCUGUGUGCUUUGCGACCAGUCGGAGGAGACGAUGGCGCACCUUCUCACUGGCUGCUCUUUUUGAUGCACCAUGUGGCAUUAGGUGCUCUCUUGGAUCCGAUCAACGACCUCCCCACCCCCAGCAGGUGAUGAUUUUGUGGACUGGUGGCAACAAGCGUGCUAGGAAGGGCAUAUCCUCGAUCAUCAUGUUGGUGGCAUGGUGCGUUUGGAAGCAUGGUAACGUGGUCAUCUUCGACAACACUCAGCUCAGCAUAGCCCGCCUCCUUGACACUAUCAAGGCAGAGACUAGGCAAUGGGCAACGGCAGGUGCGAGAGGUCUUGCGGCGUUGCUACCGUUGGGGGCGGUACCUACCAUUUAUUGGCGGGGUGUUGUAAUUAGGGGUGUCGCCCGUCUUUGGGUCCCAGGGUUAUUGAAGCAACACAAGGUUGUGGAGGAACAAUUCCAUCUUGCUGCUACAAAGUGUAAAACACUGGUGAGAAGGAACUAUUUCAACAUGGCAGCAGGAGUUCAAUCCAAAACUCCUAAAGCACAAGAUCUAGUCCAAGAUCUUAGAUAA